rnacentral:misc_RNA from 1 species
ACAAACUUGGUCAUUUAGAGGAAGUAAAAGUCGUAACAAGGUCUCCGUAGGUGAACCUGCGGAGGGAUCAUUACCAGAGAUGGCGGGCCCCUGCGCCCCCGUCCCCAACCCUUUGUUGACAAAACAUUUCUUGCCUCGGGGGCAGAGCGUCCGUGACGCCGCCCCCGGAGGACCACCAAACGCUGUCUCUGUACGUCGGAGUUUUGAUCGAAUGAAUGAAAACUUUCAACAACGGAUCUCUUGGUUCUGGCAUCGAUGAAGAACGCAGC